UACGGAGGGGGUUAGCGUUGUUCGGAAUGACUGGGCGUAAAGCGCGCGUAGGCGGAUCAGGAAGUUGGGGGUGAAAUCCCGGGGCUCAACCCCGGAAUGGCCUUCAAAACUCCUGGUCUUGAGUUCGAGAGAGGUGAGUGGAAUUCCGAGUGUAGAGGUGAAAUUCGUAGAUAUUCGGAGGAACACCAGUGGCGAAGGCGGCUCACUGGCUCGACACUGACGCUGAGGUGCGAAAGUGUGGGGAGCGAACAGG
rnacentral:rRNA from 1 species